AUACAAUGUAAGUCUACAUUAAUUCAUAUAUUUUUCUUGCGAUUUGCCUUGCAUUUACUUCGCAUUCUUCUGGUCUUACCCACGAUUCUUUAUACAAUAUUUCUACACAAUGCUUCAUAGCAAUUAUUCUAAUACACACACACACA